rnacentral:rRNA from 1 species
AUACGGAGGGUGCGAGCGUUAAUCGGAAUUACUGGGCGUAAAGGGUGCGCAGGUGGUUUGACAAGUUAUGUGUGAAAGUCCCGGGCUUAACCUGGGGAUGCCAGAUAAGACUGUCGAACUGGAGUAUGGGAGAGGGCAGUGGAAUUUCCGGUGUAGCGGUGAAAUGCGUAGAGAUCGGAAGGAACACCAGUGGCGAAGGCGGCUGCCUGGCCUGAUACUGACACUGAGGCACGAAAGCGUGGGGAGC